GGUUGAUCCUGCCAGUAGUCAUAUGCUUGUCUCAAAGAUUAAGCCAUGCAUGUCUAAGUUUAAGCAAUAAACAGUGAAACUGCGAAUGGCUCAUUAAAUCAGUCAUAGUUUAUUUGAUGGUACCUUACUACAUGGAUAACUGUGGUAAUUCUAGAGCUAAUACAUGCUGAAAAAUCCCGACUUCUGGAAGGGAUGUAUUUAUUAGAUCCAAAACCAAUGGCCUUCGGGUCCCUAUGGUGAAUCAUGAUAACUGCUCGAAUCGCAUGGCCUUGCGCCGGCGAUGCUUCAUUCAA
rnacentral:rRNA from 1 species